AGAAAAGUAAGCUAAAUAAAGCUAAUGGGUUCAUACCCCAUCAAUAGAGUUAAACUCUCUUCUCUA
rnacentral:tRNA from 1 species